AAAUUGUUACAUCUUGACGUUGUGAUAUUUUUCCUACUAGGUUCACUAUUUUCUUCAUACUCCGCAUUGUUUUCGUCAAUAUGAAAUUUUGGGAUGUAGAAUGUAUAUUAAGACAUUUACAUGGAAACGAAACAUAGAUAAGUUCAUUUCUUCUGAGGUGGACUGAAUUUUGUGCCAACCCCCAGAUUUUUAGUUUUUGUGAUAAUUCUAUCUAUCUAUAUUUGAUAGGGUAAGAUGUGAUUCAGAUCUUAGCUGGAAGGAUACCUUCCAGGUUGAUUACCAAUGGACUCAUAUGCGCUGUCAUUAAAUUCUGCUACGAGCUUAGAGCAUGCCAGAAACAAUUCCUGCUGCUGUGUUUAUUUUUCUCUACACGUGGGAAUAGUUGUAGAGAUUGUUGAGAAAAGAACUCCAGAGAUCUUGUUGGCAUAAUUUCUCUGGCAUUUUGCUUCUGCACAGCAUCAAAGAGGCUUUCGGAGGUAAUCUGUACAUGAGUAGAUGUUGUAAGAAUAUAGGAUGUAAUCAUGUAAAUGGGAUGAAAAGGAAAAGGGGUAAAAGAUAAGAGGAAAAUAGUUUUAGGUAUACCUUGUUCAAGGAAGGGGAUCAUAGAGAAGCAUUGUAGCUGGUAGGUAUAGGCUUUAAAGUUUCAGCCUCAGUUUUGAAGUGAUUUGAUCAAUAACAUUACUUGUACAAGUGUUUCUUUUUGCAAUAUGAUCCCUCUCAUUUUUCUUUUGCAUUUUGUAAUCUCUUUCUGGUAUAUUUAAGUUGCUUUCUGCUAUCCAAAAUUAUUACCAAAUAUGGCAAGUUUAUCUCAUAACUUUUCAGAUAAUAAUACUCCCUCCGUCCCAUAGUUA
rnacentral:lncRNA from 1 species